CAGUGGGGAAUAUUGGACAAUGGGCGAAAGCCUGAUCCAGCCAUGCCGCGUGUGUGAAGAAGGUCUUCGGAUUGUAAAGCACUUUAAGUUGGGAGGAAGGGUUGUAGAUUAAUACUCUGCAAUUUUGACGUUACCGACAGAAUAAGCACCGGCUAACUCUGUGCCAGCAGCCGCGGUAAUACAGAGGGUGCAAGCGUUAAUCGGAAUUACUGGGCGUAAAGCGCGCGUAGGUGGUUUGUUAAGUUGGAUGUGAAAUCCCCGGGCUCAACCUGGGAACUGCAUUCAAAACUGACUGACUAGAGUAUGGUAGAGGGUGGUGGAAUUUCCUGUGUAGCGGUGAAAUGCGUAGAUAUAGGAAGGAACACCAGUGGCGAAGGCGACCACCUGGACUAAUACUGACACUGANGUCCG
rnacentral:rRNA from 1 species